rnacentral:rRNA from 1 species
GAUCCUGGCUCAGGGUGAACGCUGGCGGCGCGCUUAAUGCAUGCAAGUCGAACGUGCCUUCGGGCAAGUGGCAGACGGCUGAGUAACGCGUGAGUAACACACCCUUCGGGGGGGGAUAGCCUCGGGAAACUGAGGGUAAUCCCGCAUACGAUCCUCUCCCCCUGGGGAAAGGAUGAAAGCCUUCGGGCGCCGGAGGAGUGGCUCGCGUCCUAUCAGGUAGUUGGUGAGGUAACGGCUCACCAAGCCUACGACGGAUAGCUGGUCUGAGAGCACGAUCAGCCAGAGGGGGACUGAGACACGGCCCCCACUCCUACGGGAGGCAGCAGCAGGGAAUCUUGCACAAUGGGCGAAAGCCUGAUGCAGCGACGCCGCGUGAGGGAUGAAGGCUCUAGGGUUGUAAACCUCUUUUCUCAGGGAAGAGUAAGGACGGUACCCGGGGAAUAAGCCUCGGCUAACUACGUGCCAGCAGCCGCGGUAAUACGUAGGAGGCGAGCGUUGUCCGGAUUUACUGGGCGUAAAGGGCGAGUAGGCGGCCUAGCAAGUCUCAUGUGAAAUCUCCCGGCUUAACUGGGAGGGGUCAUGGGAAACUGCUAGGCUUGAGGGCAGUAGAGGAGAGUGGAAUUCCCGGAGUAGCGGUGAUAUGCGUAGAUACCGGGAGGAACACCCGAGGCGAAGGCGACUCUCUGGGCUGCACCUGACGCUGAGGCGCGAAAGCAUGGGGAGCGAACCGGAUUAGAUACCCGGGUAGUCCAUGCCCUAAACGAUGGAUACUAGAUAUGGGGGGUAUCGACCCCCCCCGUGUCGUAGCUAACGUGAUAAGUAUCCCGCCUGGGGAGUACGGCCGCAAGGCUAAAACUCAAAGGAAUUGACGGGCCCCCGCACAAGCAGCGGAGCGUGUGGUUUAAUUCGAUGAUAAGCGAAGAACCUUACCAGGGCUUGACAUGCUUCUGAAAUCCCGGGAAACCGAGCCCUCCUUCGGGACAGAUGCACAGAUGUUGCAUGGCUGUCGUCAGCUCGUGCCGUGAGGUGUUGGGUUAAGUCCCGCAACGAGCGCAACCCUUGUCGUUAGUUGUCUUUUUCUAGCGAGACUGCCCCUAAAAAGGGGGAGGAAGGUGGGGAUGACGUCAAGUCAGCACGGCUCUUACGUCCUGGGCUACACACACGCUACAAUGGCCGGUACAGAGGGUUGCCAAGGAGCGAUCCGGAGCUAAUCCCAAAAAGUCGGCCCCAGUUGGGAUUGCAGGCUGCAACCCGCCUGCAUGAACGUGGAGCUGCUAGUAACCGCAGGUCAGCACACUGCGGUGAAUACGUUCCCGGGCCUUGUACACACCGCCCGUCACGUCAUGGAAGUCGGCAACACUUGAAGUCGCUGGGCCAACCCUUCGGGGAGGCAGGCGCCGAGGGUGGGGUCGGUGACUGGGACGAAGUCGUAACAAGGUAGC